AUUGUAAAUUUCCUGAGGCCUCCCCAGCAAUGCAAAACUGAAGAAGAUAAGUGCAACUGGACACAGUGAACAAAGGAAAGGUCAAAGGGCUGGAUCCUGUGGGCCAGGACAUGUAAGAAUGGUUCUUCCAGGCCUGGACCAUGACACCUCCCUUGCCUGCUAAACAGAUAAAGAAAAUCUGGUGGAGUUCUCUGAGGCCCCAAAAGAUGGCAGAGUCACUCUGGAAGAAGCCUGGGUCCCUGGUUGACUAUGUGAAGCAGAAACCCCACCAUAUCCUCUCUGUGUAUCCCCAGUCGUUGGUGAUGUAACCAAAUAAUAAAUCUUUGUUGUGUUAAAACACUGAAAAUAA